GAUGAACGCUGGCGGCGUGCCUAAUACAUGCAAGUCGAGCGAACAGACGAGGAGCUUGCUCCUCUGACGUUAGCGGCGGACGGGUGAGUAACACGUGGAUAACCUACCUAUAAGACUGGGAUAACUUCGGGAAACCGGAGCUAAUACCGGAUAAUAUAUUUAACCGCAUGGUUCAAUAGUGAAAGACGGUUUUGCUGUCACUUAUAGAUGGAUCCGCGCCGCAUUAGCUAGUUGGUAAGGUAACGGCUUACCAAGGCAACGAUGCGUAGCCGACCUGAGAGGGUGAUCGGCCACACUGGAACUGAGACACGGUCCAGACGCCUACGGGAGGCAGCAGUAGGGAAUCUUCCGAAAUGGGCGAAAGCCUGACGGAGCAACGCCGCGUGAGUGAUGAAGGUCUUCGGAUCGUAAAACUCUGUUAUUAGGGAAGAACAAAUGUGUAAGUAACUAUGCACGUCUUGACGGUACCUAAUCAGAAAGCCACGGCUAACUACGUG
rnacentral:rRNA from 1 species